ensembl:lncRNA
CCCCCGGCUGCCAGCUGCUGCGCUGGGGGCCGUGCGGAGCUCUGCGGACGGCUGCGGGGUUGUAGGCAGGCGGCAGCUGCGGGCUGGGGGGCGGUUGGGGGGCUGCAGCUCGGGGGCUCCGUGCUGGGAGGGACGGAGGCGCUGCAGGGGCUGUCCGCCUUCUCCUCAGUACUCCCCGUACCUCAUCCGCUGUCCUGGGGGGCAGCUGGGGGGCUGUAAGCAGGCAGCGGGUGUGGGGCUGCAGCUCAGGGGCUCGGUGCUGGGGGGCAAUGAGGUACCGCGGGGGCUCCCCUCCUUCUCCUCAGCGCUCCCCAUACCUCAUCCAUGGGGCAGCUGUGGGGUUGUGGGGCAGGUGUGGGGCUGCAGCUCAGGGGCUCGGUGCUGGGGGGGCUCCCCGCCUCUUCAGUGCUCCCCAUACCUCAUCCGCGUCCCAUGGGGCAGCUGUGGGGCUGCAGGCAGGCAGCAGUUGCAGGCUGGGGGGCAGGUGUGGGGCUGCAGCCCCCCGCUGCACUCAGGGGCUCAUUGUUGGGGCGCACUGAGGGGGCUCCCUUCUUUCUCUUCAGUGUUCUGUACCUCAUCCGUGUCUUGUGAGGCAGCUGGGGGGCAGUUGUGGGGCUGCAGCUCAGGGGCUCAGUGCUGGGGGGGCUCCCCGCCUCUUCAGUGCCCCCCAUACCUCAUCCGCGUCCCAUGGGGCAGCUGUGGGGCUGCAGGCAGGCGGCAGCUGUGGGUUGGGGGGCAGCUGUGGGGCUGCAGCCCCCCCCCCCCGCUGCACUCAGACACAGUGCUGGGGGGCACUGAGGGGGCUCCCCUCCUUUCUCCUCAGUGCUCUCUCCCUCAUCCAUGCCCCAUGGGGCAGCUGUGGGGCUGUAAGCAGGCAGCAGGUGUGGGGCUGCAGCUCAGGGGCUCGGUGCUGGGGGGAACUGAGACAAUGGGGGGGCUCCCCUCCUUCUCCUCAGUACUGCAUACCAUGUCCACGUCCCAUGGGGCAGGUGUGGGGCUGCAGGCAGCAGCUGGGGGUUGGGGGGCAGGUGUGGGGCUGCAGCCCACCCUGCUGCACUCAGACACAGUGCUGGGGGGCACUGAGGGGGCUCCCCUGCUUCUUCUCAGUGCUCUGUACCUCAUCCAUGUCCCAUGGGGCAGCUGUAGGGCUGCAGGCAUGCAGCAGCUGCAGGUUUUGGGGCAGGUGUGGGGCUGCAGCCCCUCUGGUGCACUCAGGGGCUCAGUGCAGGGGGGGGGAGGACUGUGGGGGCUUCUGUCCUUCUCCUCAGUGCUCCAUACUUCACCCACCAUCCUGUGGGGCAGCUGUGGGGCUGUAAGCGGGCAGGUGUGGGGCAGCAGCUCAGGGACUCAGUGCUGGGGGGGCUCUCAUUCUCAGUGCUCCGUACCUCAUCCACCGUCCUGAGGGGCAGCUGCGGGGCUGCAGGCAAGUGUGGGGCUGCAGCCCCCUGGUGGGCACGGGCUCAGAGCUGGGGGAACUGAGGCACCGUGGGGCUCUCCUCCUUCCUCACAGUGCUCCAUACCUCAUCCGCGUCCCGUGGGGCAGCUGUGGCUCCGCAGCUCCUUCUACACGGGAGUUCCUCGGCGCUGGGCGCGCUGCCCAACUCAGGGCCUGCAGUCUCCCAGUGCCGCCGGCCGGCUCUGGCUGCGCGCCCGGAGCUGUGCCCUGCGGGAGGAACGGAGCUCUGCGCUCUGGGCCGGGCUCUCCCCUCAUUCCCUCACCCGGGACGUGGGGCCUCUCCUCUCCCCAGCGUUACCUCCGUUUUACCCCCACAGAGAGGGCUCUACAUCCCAUCUCCCCCCCCCCC